CGCACUGCACUAUCCGGACGACACCCCCGUGAUAGUAUGCCCCAUUGAGCGUUAUUUGUCUUUCGAACAUUGCAUUCAUUUUGUGAUGGACGAGUUCGAGGCUCACAUCCUUUUCGAUGCGUUCCUUGAGAUGCAUGAGGGCCCUUCGGAGGGUUGCCCAUCCUGUGAUGAUUUUGCAGGCCGAGGCACUUUCAAAUGAGGAGCUCUGACAAUCGCCAUCAGGCAAAACCUCGCACUUUUGUGCUCACACUUCGUACAUAACCUCAGUGGGGUAGGAUUACCCGCUAGACUUAAGCAUAUUAAUCAGCGGAGGAAAAGAAACUAACAAGGAUUCCCCCAGUAACUGCGAGUGAAGAGGGAAGAGC
rnacentral:misc_RNA from 1 species